AGAUAGAAUCUCACUAUGUUGACCAGGCUGGUCUUGAACUCUUGGCACCCAAGCGAUCCUUUUGCCUGGAAUCCCAAAGUGUCAGAUUUACUG
rnacentral:lncRNA from 1 species